UCUAAAAAUAUUUACAAAUGUCUAUAAGAUCAGUCGUUAGUAAUUUUGUUUUUAUAUUUUUCGAGUUUGUUUUAAUAUUACCAGAUAAAAAUUUAUUCCAUAGGUAUGGUCCCCUAUAUCUAAUUAAAAACGUGCAAGAUUUUAAUAAAAUCUUUGGCACUUGAUAAUUAUUUUUUGAAAAUCUAGUAUCAUAUUUAUGUUGUAUUGAACUAAAUUGGUUAGUAAACAAUUUUGGUGUGAUGUUUUGUUUCAUCUUGUACAUGAAAAGUAAAACUUGAUGCAUAUUUAAUUGAUAAAUGUUCAAAGCCCCAAUUUGAAGAACUAAGUGUUGUGUUCGUGGCAUAUCUGUCCAAACAAAAAAUUAUACGACAAGCAUGUUGUUGUUUAUUAUACAACUUUUUAAAUUUAUUUACAUUGUUACUUGCUCAGGAUAUUAUUACAAUACGUUAAGUAGCUGUGUAUAACAGAAAAAUAAAGGUUUUUUCAAGCAAAGAAAAUUUAAGUAUCGUUUGGCCUUAUAUAAUAUCACUAAGUUUUUAGAGAUUUUAUUUUCAAGGGUUUGUAUAUGUUUAUUCCAUGUUAAUAAUUCGUCUAAAAGUACGCCAAGAAAUUCUAUUGUUUAUGUUUACGUUAUUAAUUUUAAGAGCUGGUAGUUUGAGUGGAAUAUCAUCAGUUUUGUAACUUAUUUACUUAUAUUAAGUGAGAGGUUAUUUGCUUUGCGCAAGUUCUUGGUUAGCUGUUUUAAAUAAAUCGACAAUGUUAGUAUUAGAGUAAAAAUUUGUUCUUAACAGUAAUAAAAACACAACUUUAAAACUUAGCCUCACUUUGUUCUUAGUUAUUGAACUUUCACCAAUUGUGUUUAUAAACAAGGCCGAAAUCGCACCAAUAUGGACAUUAAUCCGAAGUUAAUGCAGGUAUGGAAAGAAAAAACGACGAUUAUAGCUUGGAGAAAGUGUUUUUCUUCCACGAGAUUAUACGUAGUUUGAGAGAGAAUUGCAAGACACCUAUAAGGAAAUUCAGAUGAUUGAGGAGGCUGUUCAUAUUUUUGGCAAAGGCUUAAGCUACGUGUUUUUGUGAAGUUACUCUUUAUAUAAGAAACCUGUAUCUAACAACUCGCCUCCAUUUUGUCGAAACAUGACGCAAAAAACGCAGUUAGUAAGUUGUUGCUGUCAGCUCGUCAACGAUGCAAAACAAAUUUGAUAAAAACAUUUAUUGUUAAUAUAAACAAAGAAUUUUGUCUUUGUUAAAAUCUGUUUAAAUAUAUCUUUAUGAAUUGAUAUAAUUUACUUUAUUUAUGCAUGAUUUGUGUAACGAUAAAAAAGUUAUGAUGUUGUUUCGAAGCUGAAUCGCUUUUAUGCAUUCCUCGGCAUGUGUGUUUUAAGACAGAUAUAAUUUAUAUGUUAAAAGGAGCAACCUUAGUCACGUGAUGUUUUGGAACAAUGGCGUCGCUACGCACCUUUUUUACAUCGUUACGUUGGCAUGGCAGCAGCGUUGUAUAAAAUUAAACAGCGUUAUCGCGGCUUUUCUUUGUGAUUAGUUCUCCAUUGUUUUUAUUAGAAUAAAGUAGUGUGAAUGCUUCGUGUUUUGUUUACCGGGUGAUCUAACACCUCCGAUGGAGAGUCGUUAAAUGAAAAUAAUUCUUGUGUUGAUUCAAAAGGUAAAGAACGUAUCACGUUUUAAAAAAGGGGAGUGUUGUUGAACUUUUUGUCGUUGUGAAAAUUCGUCGAAUCUUUAUUUGACUCACUUCCCUGAUCUGCCGCCAUUAUGAAUAUUCUUUGGGCUAUUAUUUGGUUCCUUGUUUUAAUCUUUCUCGCUUGGCCAGUGGGAGGAUUUUGCGCCUCUUGGUACGUAUGCUGUCUCCCGUUCGAAGUAUGCAUUGAAGGGUUGAAGGGGCUGAAUGAACUUUUAUUCAAAGGGGUCAAAUUGCCGUACGAAGUUGCUGUGAGAUUGAAAGACGGAAAAGAAGGCUGGUGAAAUUUCCGCAAGAUUUACUUAUUGAUUGGUUUUCUUUCUAUACGCUUAUUUAUACCCAACACAAAGAGGCUGAGAUCUGAAGAACUUUUGUUUAUUGAUUUAGUGCAUUUUUGUACUGUUUUUGUACAUGUAGGAGAAUUAACGUUACUAUGAUAAUAAA